UUUAUUUGUUGGGGUUUGUAUGAUUGUAUCAUAUUCUAUUUUGUUUUUUUUUUGUGCGACUCAUUGCAUUCUAGUAGCUCCCUUUCAUGUUCAUCUUUAUGCAUGCUUCAUUAUUUUUCUAUCUUGAGCUGGGAUUUGUGUUUGUGCCAGAUGGGUUCUAUAAUGCACCAUAAUUUAAAGCUUCCUUUCUUAUUUUGGUUUGGGUUUCGUUAAAAUUUUGAGAUCUUCGUGCACCCUCUACUCCUGGCCUUCUGUUUUUCAGCCUUUGACUGGCCUUUUUAGUAGUUCUCUUUUUACUUACACUUGUUGACCUUCUGUAUUCAGUUGUUGGCUCACCAUGAGCUAUUCAAUCUCAUGGAUAUAUGUAGUGAUGAUGAAACUGGUGAGCCAAACUCAGUGUCCCCAGCGCUAACUUCUCAGCAAUUUCGAAAAGCUAUCUGGAAACUACAAAUAGCACAGGAAAAAGGGUCCAGAAAUGAGGUCAAAUUUGUUACUGAUAAAGAGCAAUUAGCUGAGAUGAAAAAUUGAGAACCAAAACAUGAUGCAGCGUGUGAAAUGGGGGCCAAGAGGAUGGUGGGAUUGUUUGGGGGAUUUAUGUCAGGGACAGUGCUGUUGGGGAGAAGCUGAGCAAGAGGCCUCGAGUUAUGAUGAUCAAUUGACAGAAGCCUUUGCGGAGAUGAGCGACUACUCAAGUGCUCCUAGCGCACCUCAGAGGCUCAGAUACCAAUUGUAAUAUGAUUGAGUUUGAGUCAAGAGUUUUAUAUGGGGGAGUUUGAUAUUGAUCAGAACCCGCCUAUUCCUCUGCGGGAUGUGCUUGGGAAGGUGGAGCCUUUCUUGAUGGCAUAUGAGGGUAUUCAGAUUCAAGAUGAGUGGGGAGGUAUAGUUUUGCUUGCUCUUGCGUUAUUUUUGUCAUCUGAUUUGGCUGAUGUGUGAUGUAAUUCUCUGUCUCCAUCUUUAUGUCACACUAAUAUGUUACCAUAGGAGUUUCCUAGUAGUUGAUUUUGUAAAGCCAUAAGAGUUUGUAGUAGUUAAUCAUUACAUGAGGAAUUUAGAUGUUUCGGAGCUGAUCAAAAAGUUGUAUCUUGAUUUUCUAAUACAACUUUUUCUAUGGCACUUACUUCCUCUUUGUUGAUAUGCCCAUAUGCCAUAUAGUUUAUUUAGUCUCAAAAUUUAAUGAAGAGCUACUCAGAAUGGAAACAUACACGUGUUUAUGUAUGUUUGUAUAGGAGCUCUUAGAAUAUGUACAUGUAUAUGUUUCGCAGCGGUCAGCAUCUGUCUUUAACUAUGAUCUCUCAUCUGUCUAUAAUGCAAUGCUGAG